rnacentral:rRNA from 1 species
AAUGAACGUUGGCGGCGUGGAUUAGGCAUGCAAGUCGAGCGAGAACCCCGCAAGGGGGGACAGCGGCGAAAGGGACAGUAAUGUGUAGAUUAUCUGCCCUCAGGUCCGGGAUAGCUGCGGGAAACUGCAGGUAAUACCGGAUAACAUCUCCGGAUCAAAGGUGUGAUUCCGCCUGAGGAUGAGUCUGCAUCCUAUUAGCUAGUUGGUGGGGUAAUGGCCUACCAAGGCAUUGAUGGGUAGCAGGUGUGAGAGCACGACCUGCGUCAUUGGGACUGAGACACUGCCCAGACACCUACGGGUGGCUGCGGUCGAGAAUCUUCGGCAAUGGGCGCAAGCCUGACCGAGCGACGCCGCGUGUGGGAUGAAGGCCUUCGGGUUGUAAACCACUGUCAGAGGGGAUGAAAUGCAGGUGGGUUCUCCCAUCUGUUUGACAUAGCCUCAGAGGAAGGACGGGCUAAGUUCGUG